GCCGGGAUGGCGGAAUGGUAGACGCGUCGCACUCAAAAUGCGAUGUCCUCUGGGCGUGUGGGUUCGAGUCCCACUCUCGGUA
rnacentral:tRNA from 1 species